CCUACGGGAGGCAGCAGUGAGGAAUAUUGGUCAAUGGCCGAGAGGCUGAACCAGCCAAGUCGCAUGAGGGAAGACGGCCCUACGGGUUGUAAACUUCUUUUGUCGGGGAGCAAAGAGAGUCACGUGUGACUCUUUGAGAGUACCCGAAGAAUAAGCAUCGGCUAACUCCGUGCCAGCAGCCGCGGUAAUACGGAGGCUGCGAGCGUUAUCCGGAUUUAUUGGGUUUAAAGGGUGGGCAGGCGGAGGUGCAAGUCAGCGGUAAAAUUGCGGGGCUCAACGCCGUACUGCCGUUGAAACUGCAUGCCUUGAGUGCGGGAGAAGUAUGCGGAAUGCGUGGUGUAGCGGUGAAAUGCAUAGAUAUCACGCAGAACUCCGAUUGCGAAGGCAGCAUACCGGCGCGCAACUGACGCUGAUGCACGAAAGCGUGGGUAUCGAACAGGAUUAGAUACCCCAGUAGUC
rnacentral:rRNA from 1 species